AUGUGGCCUGCACCAGUGCUUCUGCUCGUCCAGUCGGCUCUGCUGAUUCAAGGAUCUUCCGCCCAGGAUUUGUUGACCCAGACGGACAAAAUCAAGUAUGUCAGUCUUGGUGGGACGGUGACCAUCAGCGCCAAAGGGAGUUCAAAUAUUGAUUAUGAUCUCAGUUGGUACCAAGUGAAACCUGGACAGGUUCCUAAACUUCUGAUCUAUCAGGCAUCAAGUCGCUUUACUGGAACACCAUCUCGAUUCAGUGGCACACGAUCUGGCUCUGACUACACUCUGACUAUCAGUGGUGUUCAGGCAGAAGAUGUCGCUGAUUACUACUCUUUUGCCCGUUUUGGAUCUGGAAGCAUUGGGGAGGAGGGACAGAUACGGCUGAAGAUGUGCGAGGACAAGUUUUUCCAUGACCUCGGACAGAAAAGAGAGAUGUGA